UCAGCUAAAACACCAUAGAAGGGUUUCCUUAAGCUGGUUCUUCCUAUUUUUACUGCAGGUAAGUUCAAAUCUUGAUUAUUUCUUGAAAAUUUUGUGUUUUUGUGACUUUUACAACUAGGCCCACUUAUGGUAUUCAUUAGUUUUUGAUUCUAUGAAAGAAGUUGAAAGUUGCUAUGAAUACAUGCUGGAAGUAUAUGAUGAUUUAGCAUGAAAUUAGAGCUUUAAAUUGUUCAUAUGCUGAUUUUAUUGAAAGAAUUGAAUAGAAAGUGAAUGUUUGGGACCUAAUAGUAAAAGAGUUUGAAGUUAGAGUUUUAUAUGGAAAUUCUGAAUUUCAACAGUUGUGAAAUAAUUUAUAAUGUCUAGGUAAAGUACUAAUUGAGAAAAUAUAACUUAAUUGAGGGGUUAAUUGAUCAAGAACUGAAUUGUAUGAACUGUGGAAUUUGGGGAAAAAAUGAAAUCACCAUUUUACACUAAAACAGAUUUGGACAGCAGCAGUGGUAUAACUUUGAAAAAUCACAAAAAAUUUUGGGAAUUUAAUUAGAGGGUGAAUAAAAUAUGAAAUUAAAGCUUAUUAAGUCUAGUUUCUCCUAAAAGAAGCGGUGCAAGUAAUGGAAUUGUAAAUUAUGAGAUAUAAUAAAUUUUGUGAGACCAUGUCAGAAUGAUUUCGGGUUCCCUAUUCUGACUUUGUAAAAUCAUAAAAAAUUGAAUAAAAAUAAUUAUGGGUUAUAAUUUAUAUGCUUAGAAUCCUUAAUGAGUCUAUUUUCAAAGGAAAUAAACGGAAACAUCAUCUGAAUUUUUUACAAUUAGAUAAUUCAUUUUUAGUGAAGAGUGGUCGGAAUUGUCAUACAGCAAAACAGGGGAACUUUAAAGAAUAAACUAUACUAUUAGGCUAAACCAAAAAUUCUGAAAAUUUUAUGGUAAGAAGAUAUCUGAGCCUAGUUUCAGGGAAAAUUUACGGAUCUUAGUUUUGAGCUCUGUAGCUCCAGAUAAAAAUAAUUUAGUGACUGUAACUCGACUAAACAACUUUGAAUUUAAAUAUAAGUGAAUAUUAAAAUUAUGUAUAAUGCUAUUUAAGUGUGUUAUAUGCAUCAGGGAUGUGGGAUGGAGAGGAGGAGGAGGACAAUAAAGUAUAUGAAUGAAUUGUGUAUAAUUGGUUAUAUUCUUGAUUAUAAUUGAUAAACGAUGAAAUAGAAAUGAUGCUUAUAUUUGUGCAUUAUUGGUCAUGGUCUAAGCUCAUGUAUGAAAAUAAAGUUUCAUAGAAUGUGUGUAUGGUAUAUUUGGUAUAUGAUUUGGCAUGAAAAAAAAUAUCAUGAAUGGUUUAUGAAUUAACACAUGUUGGUAAGCGUGAUACAUGAAUAAAUAUUGUGCUCAUCCAUGCUUAUAAUGCUUAUGCUAUAUGUGUAUUUGGCUAACAUAUUUAGUGUACAUGCUUAGACUUUGGCCAAGUAGUGUCUAGAUUAUGCCACGUUAAAUUUAUAAGUUAUGCAUUGAAAUAGUAAAUUCAUAUGACUAAAAUCCAACGAUUAAAUGUUAAUUUCAUGAGUUAUAUAAUGUAUGUUGAGAUAUAUUUAUUGUUGAAAUGAGAAUAAAAUAAAAAUGCGAAAACUGAAUAAAUGAUCAAAUGAGCGGAACGUCGGAUUUGAGUGCUUCUGAUCAGUGACAAGUGACAAAGUGAUAAGUGGUAGCCUCAGCUACACUUAUCUGAUCAAGUGAAAAAGUGAUAAGUGGUAGCCUUAGCUACACUUAUCUGAUCAAGUGAAAAAGUGAUAAGUGGUAGCCUUAGCUACACUUAUCUGAUCAAGUGACAAAGUGAUAAGUGAUAGCCUAGCUACACUUAUCUGAUCAGGGACAAGUGAUAAGUGGUUAUACGUAAGACCAUAGUUAUACUAUGGCAAAGUGAAAGUGAAGUAGUCAAUUUUCCGUUACCGUUCCCUAAUUUGAUUAAGGACGAUAAGUGACAAAUGGGCCCAAAAGAAUUAAAGUAAAUGGAUAAGUGGUAGUGUAUUUAUACCAGGAUGAUGUUGUUAUAUAAGCUAAAGUGAUAUUUUCAUUGCAAAAUUGAGAAUUUCAUAAAUGUGUUAUUGAAUAGUACAAUCGAUAAAAGUUGAGUUAAAUGGUAAAUACAUAUUAGUGUUGAACUUAAUGUCAUUGAAUUGUAGGUGAAUUAAAUGGAAACUGUUAGUGAUAUGAUUUAAAUUGUGAGCAUGAGAAAUUGCGAAUUGGAUGAAAUAGAAAUGAAGCAUUAAAUUGCAUGAGUAUGUAGCGGGUCUCGUAUGCCCUAAUUAUUAUGAUUAUAAUAUUUUGAGGAUAUAUUGUGAAAAGUUAUAGAAACAUGUUAAUUAUUUUGAAAGUUUUAAUUUAGAUGAAAUUUUAUAACUCGGUUAAAUAUGUUUACAAGUGUAUGUGUUUUGAUAAUGCCUCGUACCCUAUUCCGGUGUUGGAUACAGGUAAGGGGUGUUACACAAAGCCACUCCCUUGUAGUCAACCAAACAUGUAGAUCAUGUUGUAUAUGGUACCCCCGAAGUUCGUUCCCAACUUGAUAUCUCAAGCACUUGUCUUUGGAUACCUAAGCAAAGAAAACCAAAGAAAGUGAGAGAAACUCAAAUGAACAAGUGAAAAUCAGUUGUGCUAGUAUCUGAUCAUGUUAUACAGAAUUUAAGAGGCUACGGUAAGUAAAUGGGGGAAUAGAAGUUUUAAGCCAUGAACCUCGCUCGUAGAAAGUACAUUCUUUAAGAUUUACAAACUAAAUGCAUCUUUGAG
rnacentral:lncRNA from 1 species